AUAUAAGAGGAUGACUUUUUUCGUUUUUUCAUUCGUAGCGAGUUAACAGCAACCCGAUCAACAACAACAACAAUUGCGGAGAAGAAACAAGAAAAACAAAAUUCAUUUUGGCUACUGAAAGCAUGGGUUUAAAGGUUCACGUGGUUUACUGAGGUGCAUGAGGUUAUGCCUCCAAGUUCCGCAAGCUGGAACAGCAGUUGGAAAAGGAGUUCAAAGGAAAACUAAGUAUUACUAGUGAGGGAACUCCGGAAGUCACUGGCUGGUUUGAGGUCCUUGUUGAUGGCAAAGCUGUGCACUCAAAGAAGAAUGGAGACGGAUACGUUGACAACAGUGCAAAACUCAGCAAGAUAAAAGAGCAUAUACGAGGGGCU